GACGAACGCUGGCGGCGUGCCUAACACAUGCAAGUCGAACGGAAAGGCCCUGCUUUUGUGGGGUGCUCGAGUGGCGAACGGGUGAGUAACACGCGAGUAACCUGCCCUUGACUUUGGGAUAACUUCAGGAAACUGGGGCUAAUACCGGAUAGGAGCUCCUGCUGCAUGGUGGGGGUUGGAAAGUUUCGGCGGUUGGGGAUGGUCUCGCUGCUUAUCGGCUUGAUGGUGGGGUAGUGGCUUACCAAGGCUUUGACGGGUAGCCGGCCUGAGAGGUGGACCAGCGACAUGAGGACUAAGGGACGGCCCAGACUCCAACGGGAGGCAGCGGGGGAGAGUAUUACGGAAUGAGGGGAAGCCAGAUACAACAGCGCCGCGUGCGGGAUGACGGGCUUCGAGUUAUAAACCGCUUUCGCCUGUGACGAGGCGUGAGUGACGGUAAUGGGUAAAGAAGCACCGGCUAACUACGUG
rnacentral:rRNA from 1 species